GGCUGUGACUUCAGCUCCUCAGGCUGUGUGGUGGCACAUUUGGAUGUGUGGGGACGGCAGGGACAGAUUACGCAUGAGAACCUUCAGAAGAAACGGGCACCUUUAACAAAGAACAAAUACGAGGAAGUAGUAGUGUCGCGUGACGGAACGACUGAUGAUUUGGUGGGUGAUGGGGUGUCCUGAAAGGACAGGAAGCCUGAGCCGGGUCUUGAUGUCGGGGUGGAGCUUCGGGGGCUCGUGGACCGCUGCUGAACGCCUGGUUUACUAGUGUGAUUUUGAGAGCGAACAGGUUUUCUUCUGAGUUUCCCGCUCACGGUUCGGGUGAAAGCUGUCUUUGUCCUGCGGAGGUGGAAACAUGGACACUGCUCUGGCCAAGAACAGCUCCCCAGAAUUUUCCGCUGGCAACAGGCUUAUUUGGGUUGGAGUGUUUGCAGCAACAGUGGAUCAUCAUUGUGUCAGCUAAAGCAUCCAGGGGAUGUCCCUAAUUUCUUCUGAUUGCAUAUGCAUGGCACAGAUAAAGGGUCUUUCAGUGGU